AAUUAUCGACAUGGGGCGCAAGCCUGAUCCAGCCAUUCCGCGUGAGUGAAGAAGGCCUCCGCGUUGUGAAGCUCUUUCGUACGGACAGAAAGCGCUCAGGCUUAUACCCGGCGCCUAUGACGGGACCGGCAUAGGGUGCACGGGCUAUCUACGUGCCACCAACCGCGGUAAUUCGUAGGGUGCGGGCGUUAAUCGGAAUUACUGGGCGUAAAGCGAGGGAGGGCGGUUGAUUAAGACAGGCGUGAAAUCCCCGGGCUUAACCUGGGAACUGCGCUUGUGACUGGUCAGCUAGAGUACAGCAGAGGGGGGUGGAAUUCAACGUGUAGCAGUGAAAUGCGUAGAGAUGUGGAGGAACACCGAUGGCGAAGGCAGCCCCCUGGGCCGAUACUGACGCUCAUGCACGAAAGCGUGGGUAGCAAACAGG
rnacentral:rRNA from 1 species